rnacentral:rRNA from 1 species
UACGGAAGGCAGCAGUGGGGAAUAUUGCACAAUGGGCGCAAGCCUGAUGCAGCCAUGCCGCGUGUAUGAAGAAGGCCUUCGGGUUGUAAAGUACUUUCAGUCGUGAGGAAGGUGUUAAGGUUAAUAACCUUAGCAAUUGACGUUAGCGACAGAAGAAGCACCGGCUAACUCCGUGCCAGCAGCCGCGGUAAUACGGAGGGUGCGAGCGUUAAUCGGAAUUACUGGGCGUAAAGGGCACGCAGGCGGCUAAUUAAGUUGGAUGUGAAAUCCCCGGGCUUAACCUGGGAAUGGCAUUCAAGACUGGUUAGCUAGAGUCUUGUAGAGGGGGUUAGAAUUCCAUGUGUAGCGGUGAAAUGCGUAGAGAUGUGGAGGAAUACCGGUGGCGAAGGCGGCCCCUGGGACAAAGGCUGACGCUCAUGUGCGAAAGCGUGGGGAGCAAACAGGGAUUAGAUACCCG